GCCCUGGUGGUGAAAUUGGUAGACGCGCCGGAUUCAAAAUCCGGUUCCGCAAGGAGUGCCGGUUCGAGUCCGGCCCGGGGCACCA
rnacentral:tRNA from 10 species